rnacentral:rRNA from 1 species
UACAGAGGGUGCGAGCGUUGUCCGGAAUCACUGGGCGUAAAGGCGCGUAGGUGGCGGCCCAAGUCCAUGGUGAAAGCUCGCCGCUCAACGGCGAGUCGGCCACGGAUACUGGGUUGCUCGAGCACUGUAGGGGCAGAUGGAAUUCCGGGUGUAGCGGUGGAAUGCGUAGAGAUCCGGAAGAACACCAGUGGCGAAGGCGGUCUGCUGGGCAGUAGCUGACACUGAUGCGCGGACAGCGUGGGGAGCAAACAGG